rnacentral:rRNA from 1 species
GACGAACGCUGGCGGCGCGCCUAACACAUGCAAGUCGAACGGAGCUGAGAGAAGCUUGCUUUUCUUAGCUUAGGGGCGAACGGGUGAGUAACGCGUGAGUAACCUGCCCUGGAGUGGGGGACAACAGUUGGAAACGACUGCUAAUACCGCAUAAGCCCACGAUCCGGCAUCGGAUUGAGGGAAAAGGAUUUAUUCGCUUCAGGAUGGACUCGCGUCCAAUUAGCUAGUUGGUGAGGUAACGGCCCACCAAGGCGACGAUUGGUAGCCGGACUGAGAGGUUGAGCCGCCACACUGGGACUGAGCCACGGCCCGGACUCCUACGGGAGGCAGCAGUGGGGGAUAUUGCACAGUGGGGGAAACCCUGAUGCAGCGACGCCGCGUGGAGGAAGAAGGUUUUCGGAUUGUAAACUCCUGUCGUUAGGGACGAUAAUGACGGUACCUAACAAGAAAGCACCGGCUAACUACGUG